rnacentral:lncRNA from 1 species
CUCCCUCCUGUGCACUGAGCUCUGUACUGCAGAAUAGACUUAAAAUACUCAUUUUACCAUUCCUAUAAACUUGUGAUUUAUUUCUUAGGUAGCAUGGACUCCAAAAGUCCUUUAAAUCUAUUUGGGUUUUUUUUAUCCUGAGUGGUAUAGACAGAGCAGUUGUUUUCAAAGAAAGAGCAAUAAACACUCAGAGCUGUUAACACUGAAGAGUUGCAGAGACCAGCAUUCAAGGAAGACCAGUGGUUGAGACCAGCACCUGGUAGCAUCGACCUCCAGCAUCGGAUGGUGACAGAUGGCAGCAGCAGUACCCACUAGCAAAAGAAUCCUAGGCUGACUGGCAAGAAAACAACUAGUAUCUUUCCAAAACUAUCUUAACCAUUGAAGAUUUUUAGAAACAGAAUUUUAGUGGGAGGCAUUAGGAUGUGGAAAGACAGAAGUUUACAAGAGUGAAACUUACAAAUCUCAGAGAAGCUCAUCUAGACACCAUCUUGAGGAGAAAAGUGAGAUACAGGAAGAGGUUGCACAACUAGAGAGUCA